CGUACACUCCUGCGGGAGGCAGCAGUGGGGAAUAUUGGACAAUGGGCGCAAGCCUGAUCCAGCCAUGCCGCGUGAGUGAUGAAGGCCCUAGGGUUGUAAAGCUCUUUCACCGGUGAAGAUAAUGACGGUAACCGGAGAAGAAGCCCCGGCUAACUUCGUGCCAGCAGCCGCGGUAAUACGCAGGGGGCUAGCGUUGUUCGGAGUUACUGGGCGUAAAGCGCACGUAGGCGGACUAUUAAGUCAGGGGUGAAAUCCCGGGGCUCAACCCCGGAACUGCCUUUGAUACUGGUAGUCUUGAGUUCGAGAGAGGUGAGUGGAAUUCCGAGUGUAGAGGUGAAAUUCGUAGAUAUUCGGAGGAACACCAGUGGCGAAGGCGGCUCACUGGCUCGAUACUGACGCUGAGGUGCGAAAGCGUGGGGAGCAAACAGGAUUAGAAACCCGUGUAGUCCCAUG
rnacentral:rRNA from 1 species